GUAACCUACCUAUAAGACUGGAAUAACUCCGGGAAACCGGGGCUAAUGCCGGAUAACAUAUAGAACCGCAUGGUUCUAUAGUGAAAGAUGGUUUUGCUAUCACUUAUAGAUGGACCCGCGCCGUAUUAGCUAGUUGGUAAGGUAAUGGCUUACCAAGGCGACGAUACGUAGCCGACCUGAGAGGGUGAUCGGCCACACUGGAACUGAGACACGGUCCAGACUCCUACGGGAGGCAGCAGUAGGGAAUCUUCCGCAAUGGGCGAAAGCCUGACGGAGCAACGCCGCGUGAGUGAUGAAGGGUUUCGGCUCGUAAAACUCUGUUAUUAGGGAAGAACAUAUGUGUAAGUAACUGUGCACAUCUUGACGGUACCUAAUCAGAAAGCCACGGCUAACUACGUGCCAGCAGCCGCGGUAAUACGUAGGUGGCAAGCGUUAUCCGGAAUUAUUGGGCGUAAAGCGCGCGUAGGCGGUUUCUUAAGUCUGAUGUGAAAGCCCACGGCUCAACCGUGGAGGGUCAUUGGAAACUGGGAAACUUGAGUGCAGAAGAGGAAAGUGGAAUUCCAUGUGUAGCGGUGAAAUGCGCAGAGAUAUGGAGGAACACCAGUGGCGAAGGCGACUUUCUGGUCUGUAACUGACGCUGAUGUGCGAAAGCGUGGGGAUCAAACAGGAUUAGAUACCCUGGUAGUCCACGCCGUAAACGAUGAGUGCUAA
rnacentral:rRNA from 1 species